CUACGGGGGGCAGCAGUGAGGAAUAUUGGUCAAUGGGCGCAAGCCUGAACCAGCCAUGCCGCGUGCAGGAAGACGGUCCUAUGGAUUGUAAACUGCUUUUAUUUGGGAAUAAACCUAUUUACGUGUAGAUAGCUGAAGGUACCAAAUGAAUAAGCACCGGCUAACUCCGUGCCAGCAGCCGCGGUAAUACGGAGGGUGCAAGCGUUAUCCGGAAUCAUUGGGUUUAAAGGGUCCGCAGGCGGAUUUAUAAGUCAGUGGUGAAAGCCUACAGCUUAACUGUAGAACUGCCAUUGAUACUGUAAGUCUUGAAUUCGGUCGAAGUGGGCGGAAUGUGUAGUGUAGCGGUGAAGUGCUUAGAUAUUACACAGAACACCGAUAGCGAAGGCAGCUCACUAGGCCUGGAUUGACGCUCAGGGACGAAAGCGUGGGGAGCAAACAGGAUUAGAUACCCGAGUAGUC
rnacentral:rRNA from 1 species